rnacentral:misc_RNA from 1 species
GUCACACCAUGGGAGUUGGCCACGCCCGAAGUCGUUACCCCAACCGUUCGCGGAGGGGGAUGCCGAAGGCAGGGCUGAUGACUGGGGUGAAGUCGUAACAAGGUAGCCGUACCGGAAGGUGUGGCUGGAUCACCUCCUUUAUAGGGAGACCUACCUAUUCCCUAUGGAAAGCAACGAGAAGUCAAGAGACUCAACGCUGUGAUUAGAUAGAGAACAGGUCACCCCAAAGGUCGUUCGGAUUUAGAUGUUAGGUUUUCAAGCUAUAUAGGGUGGUUCGGUAUAAAGGGCUAUUAGCUCAGGUGGUUAGAGCGCACCCCUGAUAAGGGUGAGGUCCCUGGUUCGAAUCCAGGAUGGCCCACCAUUACUCAAUGGGGGGGUUUAGCUCAGUUGGUAGAGCGCCUGCUUUGCAAGCAGGAUGUCAACGGUUCGAGUCCGUUAACCUCCACUGGGUGAAUGACCCUAGCUGAAAAAAUUAAUAGAGAGCAUUUCAGCAACUGAUCUAGCGAAGAUUCAAUUAACCUUCCUCUAGAGAGCCUGCUGAGGUUAGCCUCAGUGAGAACCUUGAAAACUGCAUAGAAACUUGUCAGGUAGUCGUUAAUUGAGAGUGAUUAGCCCUCAGUUAACGAAAGUAUCACAGACACCAAUGUAAGUUUGCGAAUAUUAAGUGGUCAAGCUACAAAGGGCUGAUGGUGGA